rnacentral:rRNA from 1 species
GACAGAGGGUGCAAACGUUGUUCGGAAUUACUGGGCGUAAAGGGCUCGUAGGUGGCCAACUAAGUCAGACGUGAAAUCCCUCGGCUUAACCGGGGAACUGCGUCUGAUACUGGAUGGCUUGAGUUUGGGAGAGGGACGCGGAAUUCCAGGUGUAGCGGUGAAAUGCGCAGAUAUCAGGAGGAACACCAGCGGCGAAGGCGGCGCUCUGGGCCGGUACUGACGCUGAGGAGCGAAAGCGUGGGGAUCAAACAGG